AUCACAAAAACGCCAUUGUAGCUACUCAAUCCUAGCAUUAAUUAAGUUUGUAAGAAGAAAUGAGGAGCACACAAAUCCUAUUCCUGGCAUUUGCCUUCUUGAUACUAUCGUCAGCUAUGGCAACUUCUAAGCCAGUAUGCAACCAUAUCCUCAAAAAGGGACAUUGUAACAACAAUGAUUGCCGAGCGUACUGCAAAAAGUUCAUCCCCCCACCCGGUGGCCCAUCUCCCAAGUGCAUACCCGAGGGAUGCCAGUGUUAUGUAUGUGGAUGACUACCACCAAACCUGGAAUCUAUCUAGAUAAAAAAUUCAUAUACAUGGAUGUAUCACAGUUGCUUGAGUAAUGAAUAAUGAUUUGAGUAAUAUAGCAUAGUAUGAAGUUCAGUAGUGUGAUAACAAUGAAAAUUUGUACUAUGUUGCAGACAAUUAUUGGGUUUCAAAAUGAUAUAAUUUCAAAUCCA